GACGAACGCUGGCGGCGUGCCUAACACAUGCAAGUCAACUUGACUGAAGGAGCAAUCUGACAGUAGAGUGGCGCAAGGGUGCGUAACGCGUAAGUAACUUGCCCAAGGUAAGGAAUAACGUCGAGAAAUCGGCGCUAAUACCUCAUAAUGCAGCGGAUCCGCAUGGAUAUGUUGUUAAAGGUUUACCGCCUUGGGAUAGGCUUGCGUCUGAUUAGUUAGUUGGUGUGGUAACGGCACACCAAGGCUACGAUCAGUAACUGGUCUGAGAGGAUGAUCAGUCACACUGGAACUGAGACACGGUCCAGACUCCUACGGGAGGCAGCAGUGAGGAAUAUUGGGCAAUGCUCGAAAGAGUGACCCAGCAACACCGCGUGGAGGAUGAAGGUAUUCUAUAUCGUAAACUCCUAGUGAGAGCAGACGAAAGACAGAUUAUUAAUCUGGAUGACUGUAUGACUCAGAGGAAGCCCCGGCUAACUACGU
rnacentral:rRNA from 1 species